rnacentral:rRNA from 1 species
UACGUAGGGUGCGAGCGUUAAUCGGAAUUACUGGGCGUAAAGGGCUCGUAGGCGGCCAACUAAGUCCGACGUGAAAUCCCCAGGCUUAACCUGGGAACUGCGUCGGAUACUGGAUGGCUUGAAUUCGGGAGAGGGAUGCAGAAUUCCAGGUGUAGCGGUGAAAUGCGUAGAUAUCUGGAGGAAUACCGGUGGCGAAGGCGGCAUCCUGGACCGACAUUGACGCUGAUGAGCGAAAGCUAGGGGAGCAAACGGG